AUACGGAGGGGGUUAGCGUUGUUCGGAAUUACUGGGCGUAAAGCGCACGUAGGCGGACUGGAAAGUUGGGGGUGAAAUCCCGGGGCUCAACCCCGGAACUGCCUCCAAAACUUCCAAUCUAGAGAUCGAGAGAGGUGAGUGGAAUUCCAAGUGUAGAGGUGAAAUUCGUAGAUAUUAGGAGGAACACCAGUGGCGAAGGCGGCUCACUGGCUCGAUACUGACGCUGAGGUGCGAAAGCGUGGGGAGCAAACAGGAUUAGAAACCCCAGUAGUCC
rnacentral:rRNA from 1 species